rnacentral:rRNA from 1 species
GGAUGGGGUGACCUUUUGGGAAGUACUCGUGUUGGGCGAGAGUAGUAUUAGGAUGGGGUGACCUCCUGGGAAGUCCUCGUGUUGCACCCC